GUUUUAGCUCUCUGCCAUUUCCGAGUUACAGAGCUUCGAAGCAGAUUGAAGCUCCUCUGCUCCAAUGGGCCCAAAGAAAGGUGGGAAGGCUCCAGUUGCAGCAAAGAAGAAGCAGGAGAAGGUAGUUAACGCCCUUUUUGAGAAAAGUCCCAGGCCAUUUGGGAUAGUAGGUGCAUUGCCACCAAAGAGGGAUCUUACCUGAUUCGUGAAAUGGCCUAAGGAAGUUCAAACACAGAGGAAGAGGAGGAUCCUCAAGCAGAGGUUGAAGGUUCCACCGAAUUUGAACCAUUUCACCAAGACCCUUGACAAGAACCUCGAUGUAUACAUGCAUACUUUAAAAUACAAACUAUGCAUAAUGCAUGUACACAGUACACUCGAGCAGCAACCAGCCUGUUUAAGAUGCUUCUUAAGUACAGACCGGAGGAUAAACCUGAAAAGAAAGAGCGUCUCCUGAAGAGAGCCCAGGCAGAGGCUGAGGGAAAAACUAUUGAAUCUAAGAAGCCUAUUGUUGUGAAAUAUGGUUUGAACCAUGUGACCUAUCUUAUUGAACAGAACAAGGCCCAACUUGUAGUUAUUGCUCACGAUGUUGACCCCAUGUAAUUGGUAGAUUGGCUCCCAGCAUUGUGUAGGAAGAUGGAAAUUCCCAACUGCAUCGUGAAAGGAAAAGCAAGGCUUGGAUCGGUAAUUACACUCAUACUAACCCUAUAUACAUGUAUUCCAUUCCUGUUUAGUCAGAUUGAUGGACUUGAAAAGAAGACCUUGUUGAGCUUGGCAUGGUCCGACUUUGUGAAAUGACUCGAGAGGUAUAGUAUAACUAGAAGCCGGAAAAGGCAAAAGUGAAAUACCACUACUUAACGUUAUUUUACUUAUUUUGUGAAUUGGAGGCGGGGCACUGCCCCUCUUUUUGGACCCAAGGUGCUUGACAACAGUCAAGAAUGAGGACAAAUUGGAAUUCAGCAAAAUCUUAGAGGCGGCCAAGGUAAUUAGAUACGAUGCCACGAUAUGAUCUUAGAACAUAAUUUUUGUUUUGGUUGCACAUUAGUUUUGUGUAGUUUGUUUUGGCAAUCUCAGGCCAACUUCAAUGACAAAUACGACGAGCACAGGAAGACUGGUGGGAUUAUGGGUUCAAAAUCUCAGGCCAAGACCAAGGUGAAAGAGAGGGUCCUGGCUAAGGAAGCCACACAAAGAAUGAAUUAGAAAAUUUUGAUGUUAUAUGUACUUUUCACAUUUUAGAUUUUGACUAAUUCUUAAUUUAAAUCAGAUAAAACUCCAGAGAGAGGAUUUUGUUUUCUUUUGAUGUUUGAACUAGAAAUGGUGUUUGAUAGCUCUGUCAUAUUUUGCCCUGAAAUUGUAGAAAAUAACAAAUGAAUAAUAUGUACUAUUUGAAGGCAAUUAAUUGAUCAUUAGUGUUGAAAAAGGAAAAC